AUCAAAUGGAUAUGGAACAGAAACUAGUGUUAUUUCUUCUCCAUUUGUAACUUCCAGGGGGGUGCAUUGCAUGUGCAGUGAACUCUCUGAGCUCACCACCACGUCAGUACAGCUCCUGUCAGAGUUUCACAUGGCUUCAGAGCUCUGAGCUCACCAACUGGUCACCAUAGGCUCUAGACAGAGGCCCUGCUUUCACACAGCUCCAGAGCCCAGAGAGGCACUGCUGUUCACUCUCCCUUCUACCCAUGCCCUCCCCACUGACACUCACCCCCUGGGCUCCAGAGUCAGGUGAAAGCAGGGGUGGAGCACUGCUGCCACUCCUCUUCACUGAAUUGUGCAGUAGGGCAAAAGAGGCGGGGGGAACAAGAGGAAGGGAUGGCAAACAGUGGUGAUGUUCACCUUCUGGGCUCCAAAGCUGUGUGAAAGUAGACCAUGUACCAGUCAACUGGUGAGCUCAGUGCUCAUGGCACAUGCGGAGCUGCGAUAGGAACUGUGCUGAUAGGCUGGUGAACUCUCUGACAUCCAGGAUCACACUGAGUGGCAUGCGGUCACACAGUGAGCUGAGCUGUGCAUGCACCACACCCCUUGACACUCCCUGAGAACCUGGGACCACCCACAGUGACUUCCAUGUCAAGUAUGCUCAGAUUUUUUCUUUCUCCCAUCAGCUUUGCUAAUUCAGUCUGGCAUCUGAGAUCAUACCUAAGCCAGGACAAACAACUCUGAACUGAAAAAAGAUGGAAUAAGUAGUCAAAGAGGAUGACCAAGAUUAAACAAGACAAGGAGAGAUUGUACAAAAUUACUGUGGAAAGGAAAGGCAUAAUAAUUCCAGGAUCUAGUCACAACUUGUCACUUGGUGAGAAGAAAGUAAUGCCCGUAUCAUAUACUUACUGAAAGAAAGAAGCAGCAAAGGGAUACUUUCUAGAAAGCACUGCUGUGCUUGAAGUACAAAUACUGCAUAAACAAGACUCACACAAUUUAAGUAUAUUUUGUUUGGUAAUACAUAACUGGUUUCCCUCUAAGUAGUGACUUCUGUACACAUUUUGAAUAAGAAGGAAACAGUACUAGAAGACAGUGAAGGAAGAGGAAAAGCCACCCACUUAACUACAGCAAUUUUAGAGGCAUCAUCAAAUGCUCAAAUAGAUUUAACCUAAUAUCCUAAUCAUCACAUUUUUAACUAUCCUGUUGGGUGUUCAGAGAAAAUUACUUCUUCUUGAACCUUGCAGCAAUUGAAAAUCCCUCAUUUGGCUUUUUUUAACUCCACUUUGCACUGAGAAUAAAUGGUUUCAAAAGUGUUCAUGAACAGAUUUUUUUCCCCUUCUCUGGCUUGAACAGUGAAUGGCAGAGCUCCGAGUCUGAAUAAACAGUGUGGGUGGUGACUGUUCUGUGAGGCCCAUGUAAAGGAUGCAAUCAUUUUCUUAUGCUGUUCAGCAUUAAAUCAUGUGAAACUAGCUUGAUUGCCACACAUAACAUUCACUUUGUAGCAGAAUGUAACAUGCCAUGUAUUCUUUCCUAACUUUGGAGGGAAAAAUAAUAAUUAAUUCUCCUAGCUUCAAGUGUUUAAUUGUGUAUAAAGUUCAUUGACCUCGCUAGUUGCUGUCAGAUGAUCUUGCUAAGGCCUGUGAAAAACAUCCCAGGAAUGCAGUGAUGUGGGCAGAAACAAAGUGAGUUCAUGCCACAAAAUGCUUUAAAUGGAACAAAAUCAGCAGCCAUCCAGAGAGACUGCACUGAAAACAGAACUUCAGAAUAAUCAUGGGUUUAACCUCACCUAAGCAGGGUAGUCCUUCAAAAGUGAUUAUUAUAAAUCAUAUACUUUAAAACAAUCCUUUCAGGAUCUGGCAUGUGACUACAUGAAGUAACUCUGUUUACUGGUAAUCCCCUAGCUGACUGGAAAUGAAUGCACUGGAGAGGCUGGGAUGUCUAGGACACAAGACCAAGAACGAGGCGAUCUGCUUGUUUCCAGGUCCAUAACCUGUUCGAGUGAGAUUAAAUGUGACCUUAGGUAGGGCACUAAGCCAUUGUGUGAAUCAGUUUCCCUUCCAGGAAAGUAAUGAUGGUUACCUCCAUUUAUACAGAGCUUUGAGAUCUACAGAUGAAAAGUAUUGUUGAUAAUAAUGAACAUGUAUUUGCCUAUAUGUAAUUUUUAUCCCUGUCAUUACAAUCUAGGCUGGAGGAGAGCCGCUUUUUUCAUAUGCUGUAAUUAGCUAGGUAGAAGCAAGAUGAAUCUGUUCUAAGGUCAACAUUAAAAUAUCAGCUGCACUCUCACACAAUUCAAAAUAUACAUUUCUAAUUCAAGGGGACAUGGCAGCCUAAUUUUAUUAAGAAACGUCACAUAAACUACUGCAGAUACCGCUUAUACUAAGCCUUAAAUAUUAAUAUAGGUUGAAAGUAUAUGCAGCAAUCUAUAUUAGAAGCUAUGUUCUUUAGGAUGAGGGUAUUUUAAUACAGCUCUUAGCAUAACUGGCCCCAUAUCCUAACUGGGCUUAUAAGCAAUACAAUAAUAUAAAUAUUAAUUAAUAGAAAAGCCUGAAAACAAUGCUGUCCAGCAUGGCUGGGACUUCAACCAGCUGAUGCAUGUCUGUGUAUUAAGGGACAUGGUCCUAAAAGUCUCUGUGGUGAAUAAGCUGCAGUUUACUUCAGUUCAAUUUUUCUUUUCCUAUAUGCCCCCUAUGGAGUCUGACAAUGUGACUGGCAAAGCCUGUGUUGCAACUCAGCAUGCCUCAUGUUGGUGUACUUUUUCACAGUCAUUGAAUCCCCCAUGGUGAUUUAUAUGAGACGAGAACAUAUGGCUCAUAGGCAAUAGCAUGGUAGUACAGAAGCCAGUUUGAAAUUAUGACCUACAAAAAUGGCCUGCAUUAUUUUGUAGUAUACCUACUGCUUUGUUACCCCUUUUUGUCAAUCCAUCACAAACAGUUUUAUCUAAAUCCCUUCUGAUAUACUACUAGCACUCUUUUCUCCAUGGCUUAAGAUGACUGCCUCUAGUACAUUCUGAAAUAAGUAACUCUAGUCAGACUAGGUUUUUUUUAGUCAAUUGGUUCAUUUUGGUGACCAUGGUGAACAUAACAGGCUUGGAUUAUAACUUCUACCAUCUGGAAUUAAAUCUUCUUCACAGACAGAUAAAACCAGAUCAUAGCCAUAUUAAAUUCUGGAUUGUGAUUAUGAUCUCUCUUGGUAUUAAGCGAUAAAGCCAUACCUCAAAAGAAUAUCAGCUUAAGGAAACCUAUACUAUUAAAUGCAUUGGAAAAGAUGUACAGUAAGUUGUCAUUUGCUGUGUAUUUUAUUCCCUCAUUGUAGAAUACAAUAAUGCCCUUAAUCUUUUGUGGAAAUACUUCAGUGGAGCUUUUUACUCAAAAAUAAGUGCAUUAUUUAAAA